CAGUAGCCGCGGUAAUACAGAGGGUGCGAGCGUUAAUCGGAUUUACUGGGCGUAAAGCGUGCGUAGGCGGCUUCUUAAGUCGGAUGUGAAAUCCCUGAGCUUAACUUAGGAAUUGCAUUCGAUACUGGGAAGCUAGAGUAUGGGAGAGGAUGGUAGAAUUCCAGGUGUAGCGGUGAAAUGCGUAGAGAUCUGGAGGAAUACCGAUGGCGAAGGCAGCCAUCUGGCCUAAUACUGACGCUGAGGUACGAAAGCAUGGGGAGCAAACAGGAUUAGAUACCCGCGUAGUCCCUGUCUCUUAUAC
rnacentral:rRNA from 1 species